rnacentral:rRNA from 1 species
UACGUAGGCAGCGAGCGUUGUUCGGAGUUACUGGGCGUAAAGAGCUCGUAGGCGGUCUGUCGCGUCGAAUGUGAAAACCCGGGGCUCAACCCCGGGCCUGCAUUCGAUACGGGCAGACUAGAGUUCGGUAGGGGAGUCUGGAAUUCCUGGUGUAGCGGUGAAAUGCGCAGAUAUCAGGAGGAACACCGAUGGCGAAGGCAGUUCUCUGGGACGGUACUGACGCUGAGACGCGAAAGCGUGGGGAGCGAACAGG